UACGGGGGGGGCAAGCGUUGUUCGGAAUUACUGGGCGUAAAGGGUUCGUAGGUGGCCAACUAAGUCAGACGUGAAAUCCCUCAGCUUAACUGGGGAACUGCGUCUGAGACUGGAUGGCUUGAGUGCAGGAGAGGAACGCGGAAUUCCAGGUGUAGCGGUGAAAUGCGUAGAUAUCCGAAGGAACAUCAGUGGCGAAAGCGACUUCCUGGACCAGAACUGACGAUCAGGCACGAAAGCGUGGGGAGCAAACAGG
rnacentral:rRNA from 1 species